UUGACAGACAACGGCGUAAAGAGUGGUUAAGGGACUACCCAAACUAAAGUCGAACACCCCCAGAACUGUUAUACGUCCCCCGAGGGCAAGAAGCUCCACCACGAAAGUGACUUUACCCCCCCCCC
rnacentral:rRNA from 1 species